rnacentral:hammerhead_ribozyme from 1 species
GUCCAGAUGACUAGUCCCAAAUAGGACGAUAUCCGCAUCCUGGAC